rnacentral:rRNA from 1 species
CAAUAGCGUAUAUUUAAGUUGUUGCAGUUAAAAAGCUCGUAGUUGGAUUUCGGGUGGGACGCAGCGGUCUCGCAUUGCGUUUGUACUGCUGCAGCCCUCCUUCUUGCCGGGGGCGGCCUCUCGGACUUCACUGUCUGGGGGUCAGAAUCGGCGAUGUUACUUUGAGUAAAUUAGAGUGUUCAAAGUAAGCUUACGCUCUGAAUAUAAUAGCAUGGGAUAACACGACAGGACUCUGGCCUAUCGUGUUGGUCUAUAGGACCAGAGUAAUGAUUAAGAGGGACAGUCGGGGGCAUUCGUAUUCCGUUGUCAGAGGUGAAAUUCUUGGAUUUACGGAAGACGAACAUCUGCGAAAGCAUUUGCCAAGGAUGUUUUCAUUG